AGUAAAUAUAAUAAGAGCAUUUGGUGGAUGCCUUGGCACUAGAAGGCGAUGAAGGACGUAAUACGCUGCGAUAAGCUUCGGGGAGUUGUGAAUAAGCUUUGAUCCGAAGAUUUCCGAAUGGGGAAACCCACCUAAUUUAUUAGGUAUUGUAUAGUGAAUACAUAGCUAUAUGAGGCAAACCCAGCGAACUGAAAUAUCUAAGUAGCUGGAGGAAAGGACAUCAACCGAGACUCCGUUAGUAGUGACGAGCGAACGCGGACCAGGCCAGUGGCUUCAAUAAAAUAACUAAAAUAACAUGGAAAGGUUAACCAUAGAGGGUGAUAGUCCCGUAUAGGUAAAAAGUUUGAAGUCCUUGAGUAAAGCGGGACACGUGAAAUCCUGUUUGAACAUAGGGGGACCACCCUCUAAGCCUAAGUACUCUCUAGUGACCGAUAGUGAACAAGUACCGUGAGGGAAAGGUGAAAAGUACCCCGACAAGGGGAGUGAAAUAGUAUCUGAAACCAAGUGCUUACAAGCAGUCGGAGCAAGCGUAUUUAUAUGUCUUGUGACGGCGUACCUUUUGUAUAAUGGGUCAGCGACUUAGUUUAUCUAGCAAGCUUAAGCCGUUAGGUGUAGGCGUAGCGAAAGCGAGUCUGAAUAGGGCGCUUUAGUUAGAUGAAUUAGACCCGAAACCGGGUGAUCUAGCCAUGGCCAGGUUGAAAGCGGAGUAAAAUCCGCUGAAGGACCGAACCCACUACUGUUGAAAAAGUAGGGGAUGAGCUGUGGUUAGGGGUGAAAGGCCAAUCAAACUCGGAUAUAGCUGGUUCUCCGCGAAAUCUAUUUAGGUAGAGCGUUAUAGCGGUUACCGUCGAAGGUAGAGCACUGAAUGAGCUAGGGGGUCCCACAGACUUACCAAACUCAAUCAAACUCCGAAUGUCGACGAGUACAGCAUAGCAGACAGACUAUGGGUGCUAAGGUCCAUAGUCAAGAGGGAAAAAGCCCAGACCGCCAUCUAAGGUCCCUAAAUCAUGACUAAGUGUUAAAGGAUGUGAGAAGACCAAAACAACUAGGAUGUUGGCUUAGAAGCAGCCAUCAUUUAAAGAAAGCGUAAUAGCUCACUAGUCUAAAUAAGUUUUCUUGCGCCAACAAUGUAACGGGGCUCAAGUCAUGUACCGAAGAUGCGGAUUUAUGCAUUUGGCAUAAAUGGUAGCGGAGCGUUCCGUAAGCCUGUGAAGGUGAACCGUAAGGUUUGCUGGAGGUAUCGGAAGUGAGAAUGCUGACAUAAGUAGCGAUAAAGAAUGUGAGAAACAUUCUCGCCGAAAGUCCAAGGGUUCUUGCGUAAAGUUAAUCUGCGCAAGGUUAGUCGGCCCCUAAGAUGAGGCUGAGAGGCGUAAUCGAUGGGAAUCAGGUUAAUAUUCCUGAACCUGAGGGAUGUGACGAAAAUAGUAAAUUGUACAGUCUUAUUGGAUUGAUUGUACAGUGAAUGUUUUCCAGGAAAUAACACCUUCAUUAUAGACCGUACCCAAAACCGACACAGGUGGACAGGUAGAGUAUACCAAGGCGCUUGAGAGAACGAUGCUGAAGGAACUAGGCAAAUUGCAUCUGUAACUUCGGAAGAAAGAUGACCUGUAUAUGGGCAAUCAUUUGCAGGUGGCACAAACUAGGGGGUAGCGACUGUUUAUUAAAAACACAGGGCUCUGCAAAGUCAAUAGACGACGUAUAGGGUCUGACGCCUGCCCAGUGCUGGAAGAUUAAAAGGAGGGGUGCCAA
rnacentral:rRNA from 1 species